CUUUUCGGGGGGGUUAAUUAGGGGUGGUGGCUAAUUAAUUCUUGCUUAAUUACCCCGUAAUUAGGAGGUGGAGGACACCACCCCCUCCCGCUGCGCCCUCAGCUUCCGCCUCCUGGUGGUGGCCUCGUUAUUCCGGGGGAAGGGGCUCCUCCAGCGGCACCGGCUGGUGAACGAGGCGCUGGGGGAGGAGCUGGGCCGGAUCCACGCUCUGGAGCAACGGACCCUCACCCCCGAGCAGUGGGAGGCCGAGAGGAGUAAAUCUGCAUAAAUUUGCAUAAAUUUGCAUA